AUUCAAGGUUGUCACAACGGCCAUGUAUGACCACAAGGAUUUUAUCUGACUAAAAAAAGAGUACUGAAAACUGAUGCUGUGUCAACUUUUUCUUUCUUUUUGUGCAAGCCAUCUUGUAAGAAGGAGGAAUACAAAUUUUAUGCCUCGAGCUGCUGAAGCAUAGCAAAGGACAAAGUGUGCUAACUCAAUGAAGGCUUGCAUCCAUGAAUAUUUUUGAGAACCAGUCAAUUCAAGUAAAUAUUUUUCUUUUGGACAUUUAAGUAUCACACUAGAGUUUCCUGCUGCAUUUUCAGAUGGAUGAACAUUUAUAAAUGGAGAAAUGUUCCAAUUCUUACACCUUCAUUGGAUACAUACCUGGUAUAAAAUUUUCCCAUUAGUUAGAACUAUCUAACAACUCUUGUAAAUGAUUAUUACACCAUCAAUUCUUAAUGACAUUUUAAAAAUAGUAGCAAAUAGCUUUUCUUUUCUGUGAUGGAAAUAUACCUCCUGGGGAACCCGCCUUGCUUCUGCAAAAAGGGGUAAUGCGCUUAUUGCAUCAUACCUCCAAAGUGGCAUCCACACUAGAGUGCUUUUGAUCUUAGGUCAUGUUCAG